CAGUGUCCUCCAGCAAUGGUUCCCGUCCAGAAGAAGCUGGUAAUUGUCGGUGACAGAGUCUGUGGCAAGACAUGCUUGCUCAUUGUCUUCAGCAAGGACCAGUUCCCAGAGGGGUGAGCACCCUCAGGGUUUCAGAACUAUGUGGCCCAUAUCGAGGUGGAUGGGAAAGUGUAGAGCUGACUUUGUGGGACACAGCCAGGCAGGAAGAUUAGGAUCGCCUGAGGCCCCUCUUUUACUCGGACACUGAUGUUAUGUGUUCUCCGUUGACAACCCUGAGAGUUUAGAAAACAUCCCAGAGAAAUGGAGCCCAGAAGUCAAGCAUUUCUGUCCCAACGUGCCCACCAGCCUGGUUGGGAACAAGAAGGAUCUUCGGAAUGAUGUGCACACAAGGUGGGAGCUAGCCAGGAUGAAGCAGAAGAGGGUGAGACUCGAAGAGGGCAGAGAUAUGGUCAAGGGAAUUGGCUCUUUGGGGUACAUGAAGUGUUCAGCAAAGACCAAAGAUGGAGUGAGAGAGGUUUUUGAAGUGGCUGCGAAAGCUACUCUGCAAGCCAGAUGUGGGAAGAAAAACUCUGGGUGCCUUGUCUUG
rnacentral:lncRNA from 1 species